rnacentral:rRNA from 1 species
GACGAACGCUGGCGGCGUGCCUAACACAUGCAAGUCGAACGAACCGGCCCUGCUUUUGUGCGGUGGUCGAGUGGCGAAGUGGUGAGUAACACGUGAGUACCCUGCCCCUGACUGAGGGUUAUCUUAAGGAAAAAGGGGCUCUUACCGGAUAGGAGCUCUUGCUGUUUGGUGGGCGUUGGUAAGUUUCGGUGGUUGGGGUUGGACUUGCGGCUUCUCGACUUGUUGGUGGGGUUGGGGCUUACCAAGGCUAUGACGGGUAGCGGACCUGAGAGGGGUGACGGCCACGAUAGGACUGAGAUACGACCCAGACUCAUACGGGACGCAGCAGUGGAGAAGAUUACACAGUGGGCGGGAGCCAGAUGCAGCAACGCCGCGUGCGGGAUAACAUGCUUCGGGUUGUAAACCGCUUUCGCCUGUGACGAGACGUUAGUGACGGUAAUGGGUAAAGAAGCACCGGCUAACUACGUG